rnacentral:rRNA from 1 species
GGUUAAGUGACUAAGCGUACACGGUGGAUGCCUUGGCAGUCAGAGGCGAUGAAAGACGUAGUAACUUGCGAUAAGCCCAGAUUAGGUAGUAACAACCAUUUGAGUCUGGGAUUUCUGAAUGGGGAAACCCACGUGCAUAAGCACGUAUCCUUACCUGAAUACAUAGGGUAAGGAGGCGAACCGGGGGAACUGAAACAUCUAAGUACCCCGAGGAAAAGAAAUCAACCGAGAUUCCGAAAGUAGCGGCGAGCGAAAUUGGACUAGCCCUUAAGCUUUGCACGCGUUAGACGAACGGUCUGGAAAGUCCGACGAUACAGGGUGAUAGUCCCGUAGUUGACGACGUGUGUUCAGUGAAAUCGAGUAGGGCGGGACACGUGAUAUCCUGUCUGAAUAUGGGGGGACCAUCCUCCAAGGCUAAAUACUACUGACUGACCGAUAGUGAACCAGUACCGUGAGGGAAAGGCGAAAAGAACCCCUGUGAGGGGAGUGAAAUAGAACCUGAAACCGUGUACGUACAAGCAGUAGGAGCAGGCUUGUCCUGUGACUGCGUACCUUUUGUAUAAUGGGUCAGCGACUUAUAUUCAGUGGCAAGGUUAACCAUCUAGGGGAGCCGUAGGGAAACCGAGUCUUAACUGGGCGUUCAGUCUCUGGAUAUAGACCCGAAACCAGGUGAUCUAGCCAUGGGCAGGUUGAAGGUUGAGUAACAUCAACUGGAGGACCGAACCGACUAAUGUUGAAAAAUUAGCGGAUGACUUGUGGCUAGGGGUGAAAGGCCAAUCAAACCUGGAGAUAGCUGGUUCUCCCCGAAAGCUAUUUAGGUAGCGCCUCGGACGAAUACUACUGGGGGUAGAGCACUGUUAAGGCUAGGGGGUCAUCCCGACUUACCAACCCUUUGCAAACUCCGAAUACCAGUAAGUACUAUCCGGGAGACACACGGCGGGUGCUAACGUCCGUCGUGGAGAGGGAAACAACCCAGACCGCCAGCUAAGGUCCCAAAUUACUACUAAGUGGGAAACGAUGUGGGAAGGCUCAGACAGCCAGGAUGUUGGCUUAGAAGCAGCCAUCAUUUAAAGAAAGCGUAAUAGCUCACUGGUCGAGUCGGCCUGCGCGGAAGAUGUAACGGGGCUAAGUAGUAAACCGAAGCUGCGGCAAUAUACUUUUGUAUAUUGGGUAGGGGAGCGUUCUGUAAGCGGUUGAAGGUGUGUGGUAACGCAUGCUGGACGUAUCAGAAGUGCGAAUGCUGACAUGAGUAACGAUAAAGGGGGUGAAAAACCUCCUCGCCGGAAGACCAAGGGUUCCUGUCCAACGUUAAUCGGGGCAGGGUAAGUCGACCCCUAAGGCGAGGCCGAAAGGCGUAGUCGAUGGGAAACGGGUUAAUAUUCCCGUACUUCUUACAAUUGCGAUGGGGGGACGGAGAAGGCUAGGUGGGCCUGGCGACGGUUGUCCAGGUUCAAGUGCGUAGGCUUAAGAGUUAGGUAAAUCCGGCUCUUUUUAAGGCUGAGACACGACGUCGAGCACCUACGGGUGUGAAGUCAUUGAUGCCAUGCUUCCAGGAAAAGCCUCUAAGCUUCAGAUUGUAAGGAAUCGUACCCCAAACCGACACAGGUGGUCGGGUAGAGAAUACCAAGGCGCUUGAGAGAACUCGGGUGAAGGAACUAGGCAAAAUGGUACCGUAACUUCGGGAGAAGGUACGCUCUCGACGGUGAAGUCCCUCGCGGAUGGAGCUAUUGAGAGUCGCAGAUACCAGGUGGCUGCAACUGUUUAUUAAAAACACAGCACUGUGCAAAAUCGUAAGAUGACGUAUACGGUGUGACGCCUGCCCGGUGCCGGAAGGUUAAUUGAUGGGGUUAGACUUCGGUCGAAGCUCUUGAUCGAAGCCCCGGUAAACGGCGGCCGUAACUAUAACGGUCCUAAGGUAGCGAAAUUCCUUGUCGGGUAAGUUCCGACCUGCACGAAUGGCGUAAUGAUGGCCACGCUGUCUCCACCCGAGACUCAGUGAAAUUGAAAUCGCUGUGAAGAUGCAGUGUACCCGCGGCUAGACGGAAAGACCCCGUGAACCUUUACUACAGCUUGGCACUGAACAUUGACCCUACAUGUGUAGGAUAGGUGGGAGGCUUUGAAGCACGUACGCCAGUAUGUGUGGAGCCGUCCUUGAAAUACCACCCUUGUAGUGUUGAUGUUCUAACGUCGACCCCUUAUCGGGGUUGCGGACAGUGCCUGGUGGGUAGUUUGACUGGGGCGGUCUCCUCCCAAAGAGUAACGGAGGAGCACGAAGGUGGGCUAAUCACGGUUGGACAUCGUGAGGUUAGUGCAAUGGCAUAAGCCCGCUUGACUGCGAGAAUGACAAUUCGAGCAGGUGCGAAAGCAGGUCAUAGUGAUCCGGUGGUUCUGAAUGGAAGGGCCAUCGCUCAACGGAUAAAAGGUACUCCGGGGAUAACAGGCUGAUACCGCCCAAGAGUUCAUAUCGACGGCGGUGUUUGGCACCUCGAUGUCGGCUCAUCACAUCCUGGGGCUGAAGUCGGUCCCAAGGGUAUGGCUGUUCGCCAUUUAAAGUGGUACGCGAGCUGGGUUUAGAACGUCGUGAGACAGUUCGGUCCCUAUCUGCCGUGGGCGUUGGAAGAUUGAAGGGGGCUGCUCCUAGUACGAGAGGACCGGAGUGGACGAACCUCUGGUGUUCGGGUUGUGUCGCCAGACGCAUUGCCCGGUAGCUAAGUUCGGAAUCGAUAACCGCUGAAAGCAUCUAAGCGGGAAGCGAGCCCUGAGAUGAGUCUUCCCUGAUACUUUAAGUAUCCUAAAGGGUUGUCGGAGACUACGACGUUGAUAGGUCAGGUGUGUAAGUGCUGUGAGGCAUUGAGCUAACUGAUACUAAUUGCCCGUGAGGCUUAACCAU